rnacentral:rRNA from 1 species
AGAGCGAACGCUGGCGGCAGGCUUAACACAUGCAAGUCGAGCGCCCCGCAAGGGGAGCGGCAGACGGGUGAGUAACGCGUGGGAACGUACCUUUUGGUUCGGAACAACACAGGGAAACUUGUGCUAAUACCGGAUAAGCCCUUACGGGGAAAGAUUUAUCGCCGAAAGAUCGGCCCGCGUCUGAUUAGCUAGUUGGUGAGGUAACGGCUCACCAAGGCGACGAUCAGUAGCUGGUCUGAGAGGAUGAUCAGCCACAUUGGGACUGAGACACGGCCCAAACUCCUACGGGAGGCAGCAGUGGGGAAUAUUGGACAAUGGGCGCAAGCCUGAUCCAGCCAUGCCGCGUGAGUGAUGAAGGCCCUAGGGUUGUAAAGCUCUUUUAACGGGAAGAUAAUGACGGUACCCGUAGAAUAAGCCCGGCUAACUUCGUGCCAGCAGCCGC